GUAGUCAUAUGCUUGUCUCAAAGAUUAAGCCAUGCAUGUCUAAGUAUAAGCAAUCUAUACCGUGAAACUGCGAAUGGCUCAUUAAAUCAGUUAUCGUUUAUUUGAUAGUACCUUACUACUUGGAUAACCGUGGUAAUUCUAGAGCUAAUACAUGUUAAAAACCCCGACUUCGGAAGGGGUGUAUUUAUUAGAUAAAAAACCAAUGCCCUUCGGGGCUCUCUGGUGAUUCAUAAUAACUUAACGAAUCGCAUGGCCUUGUGCCGGCGAUGGUUCAUUCAAAUUUCUGCCCUAUCAACUUUCGAUUGUAUGGUCUUGGCUUACAAUGGUUUCAACGGGUAACGGGGAAUUAGGGUUCGAUUCCGGAGAGGGAGCCUGAGAAACGGCUACCACAUCCAAGGAAGGCAGCAGGCGCGCAAAUUACCCAAUCCCGAUACGGGGAGGUAGUGACAAUAAAUACUGAUACGGGGCUCUUUUGGGUCUCGUAAUUGGAAUGAGAACAAUUUAAAUCCCUUAACGAGGA
rnacentral:rRNA from 1 species